UCUACAGUGCAUGUGUCUCCAGUGUGAGUAAGUGACUGGAGAUGCGGCCCUGUUGGAAU
rnacentral:pre_miRNA from 1 species